GUAGGUGGCAAGCGUUGUCCGGAAUUAUUGGGCGUAAAGCGCGCGCAGGCGGUCCUUUAAGUCCGAUGUGAAAGCCCACGGCUCAACCGUGGAGGGUCAUUGGAAACUGGGGGACUUGAGUACAGAAGAGGAAAGCGGAAUUCCAAGUGUAGCGGUGAAAUGCGUAGAGAUUUGGAGGAACACCAGUGGCGAAGGCGGCUUUCUGGUCUGUAACUGACGCUGAGGCGCGAAAGCGUGGGGAGCAAACAGGAUUAGAUACCCUGGUAGUCCACGCCGUAAACGAUGAGUGCUAAGUGUUAGGGGGUUUCCCGCCCCCCUUAGUGCUGCAGCUAACGCAUUAAGCACUCCGCCUGGGGAGUACGGCCCGCAAGGCUG
rnacentral:rRNA from 1 species